AGUGGGCAUAGGUAGCUUCCUCAGACUGAGUCGACAACUCUGAUCAAAAGUACUAGAUUUUGAUACCUCUGGCAAAGUUACUGUUUUUAUUUAUCUUUCUUUCUUUCUUCUUCUAUUUACAGAUUAGAGACGAGAGGAGAGCUCCUCCAGCUCCAAUAAUGGCGGCAGUUGAAGAGGAGAAGACCCUUCAAGACGAGCUGUCACUUCCAAUUCUCUUAGCUGACCGAGUCAUCAAAUUGGCUCAAGAGGCCGAGUCGUCGAAGCAAGACUGUUCCGAACUCGCUAAGCAAGUCGACCGUCUCUCGCAGUUGCUCCGCUCCGCUGUGCGACUCGCUUCAACGACUCAGUCCGUAUACGAUCGACCCGUUAGGCGAAUCGUUGCGGAGGUGAACAAGAACCUCGACCGAGCCCUAACCUUGGUCCGCAAGUGCAAGCACAGUGGAAUCCUCCGUCAAGUCUUCGCCAUCACCACCACGGCCGAUUUCCGUAAAGUAUUGAACCUUCUCGAGUCUUCGAUCGGAGAUAUGAAAUGGGUCAUCUCCAUUUUUGACGCUGAUGGUGCGAACCUUUCUCUCCCUCCGAUUGCUAGUAACGACCCGAUUCUCUCAUGGGUUUGGUCCUCCAUCGCCACCGUUCAAAUGGGUCAGCUCAAGGCCCGAGUCGACGCGGCCAACGAGCUCGCCUCGCUCGCACGUGACAACGAUCGGAACAAGAAGAUCAUUGUUGACGAAGGGGGAGUUACGCCAUUGCUAAAGCUACUCAAAGAGAGUUCUUCACCCGACGCUCAAAUUUCCGCUGCCAAUGCGCUUAUUAAUAUCGCUACCGACGCGGAAAGGGUCAGAUUCAUUGCCGAUGCUCUUGGGAUUCCAUUUAUCGUUCAGGUUCUUGGGGACUCGCCGAUGAGGGUGCAGGUCUUGUUGGUGAAAUUAGUGGCGCAGAUGGCCGAGCUCGACGCGGAUGCACAAGAGGAGUUCGCGAGAGAGAACGUGACUCGGCCGCUUGUGUCUUUACUCGCCAUGGAUACGGUUCUUGAAGAACCGAAAAUUAAUCCUGGUAAAACUAGUAUUCAUUCCAUUGUUCAAAUAAAUAAAGAAUUGACUGGAAAGCCUGGAAAUUUGCUUACCCAUUCAAUUCUCACUUCGAAUGCCUCGUUUUCUUCGAAUACUUCGUUUUCUGCUCACCAUUCUGAUGGUAGUAUCCGUGGUGGGUAUUACAAGAAGGAGAAAGAUGUUGAGUCCCCCGAGUUGAAACUUAAGCUCAAGGUUGGUUGUGCUGAGGCGCUUUGGAAACUUUGUAGAGAAAGCUUGAUUAAUAGUCGUAAAGUCACCGAGACCAAAGGGAUGAUUUGCUUAGCCAAGAUCAUAGAGAAGGAAGAAAAUGAUUUGCAGAUUAAUUGCUUAUUGACAGUUAAAGAGAUAGUGUCUGUAGCUGAGUCCUGUCCUGACCUUAGAAGAGCUGCCUUUAAGACCAACUCUCCAGCUGCCAAAGCGGUUGUGGAUCAGCUUCUAAAAGUUAUUCAAGAGGAGAGUAAUCCGGCAUUGCAAAUUCCUGCCAUUAACUCAAUUGGGUGCUUGGCUAGAACUUUUUCGGCAAGGGAAACCCGAAUUGUUGGUCCUUUAGUUUCAUGCCUUGGUGAUGCGAAUGUUGAUGUAGCUACAGAGGCUGCUACUGCGUUGGCUAAGUUUGUCUCUCCGGAUAAUUUCAAUUGUGUGGAGCAUUCUAAGGCCAUCAUUGAAUUUGAGGGUGUCCCUCCAUUAAUGAGACUGCUAAAGUUUGAUGGCAAGCCUCAACUUCAGGGUACAAAGUUACUAUGUUACCUUUCUGUACAUGUUGGUAACAGCAAGGCUCUUGAACAAGCACGCGCAUUGAAUGCCCUCGAGGGAGCUCGUUCUGCUGCAGCUCAGCAUCCUGAUUUGAGGGAGGUUUAUCCUAAAGCCAUUCACCAUCUAGCUCUUUAUCAGGCCGGAGCUCAUCCCCUCCGGCAAGCAUAUACUCCAUGAGUGUCAAGAAUUUUGGUCAUCUUGUUGAGAAACAAUGAUAUUCCGUGCCCCAAGACUUCAGUACUUGUUCCUUGUGAUUCAGUAUGCCAUGCAAUGCACGACUGUUAACGUUAGUUUGCUUAAUUCAGUUUUGCAUAUGGCGAAGGCCCUUUUUGAUAGCUUUUUAUAAGUUUAUUUACCUUAUAUAGGUAAACAAGGUCAAGGAUGUUUGACGUGCAGGCUUAAUUGAAUCAAUACCAUUUCAAAGUGUUCCAUGCCUUUUUAUAUAAUAUGCCGUGUGUAUCUGUUUUCCUUGACGCUUCUUUUGCUCCUUUACCUCAUUCUAUGUUACCAAGUUUUACCUUUCAGGAACUGAAAAAUCUGUUCCACUGUUUUUUAUGGCCAUAUCCAAAAGCUCAGAACUACAGGGGGACAACAUUUCAAAGUUCCUUGACUGGAUUUGAUGUGCGAUAAUCAUGUUGAUUCAAAGGUAAAAUAUGCCUGUCAAAGGAAAAGUGAGAGCUGAAACAAGAGAUUACGAAACGAAAGAAGUUGAGUUGAUCACGUAAACAAGAACAAGAAUCUGAACUAUAGAGCUUGCAGUAUGGCAUUUGUAUGUGCCAUCAAUGGUGUCUUUGGCAACAAAAUUCUGGCUGAUAGAUGGGUGUAGAUAUUCCUAUACUUGUGUAUUAUGUUAUGUAUGUAUAAUUCUUGUAUGCCUCAGUAACUGUAUCAUUGCAGACAGAUUAAACUACACAUAUAUACGAAUCCAUGGAUAAAAUGUAAAGCAACACAAGCAUGAGAAAGUUUGUUUUGUAUUUUAAAUCGUAUACACUGUAUACUGCUACAGGUGUUAGAAUGGUAGAUAUGAAUGAUUGUUUAAAAGUUGCCUUGA